rnacentral:lncRNA from 1 species
GUGCAAAGGAAAUGAAGGGAGAAGCAGAAGGAACGGAAAAAGGUUCCUAAACUGAGCUUGGAAGGAAGAGGAAAGAGCUGCAGAGGCGGAGACUCUGACCCCAAAGCGAUCGAGGGCCCUCCCCUGGCUUCCGUGUCCCUGUGGCAGGCGGUGGUGGUCGAAAUCUCUGCCCCUCAGAGUCCUGGGGAGGAUGGAUGGAACAGGAGGAGCAUCAUGAGAAGGCUUCCUGUAAACUACGGAGGGUGCUCGUGGAAGCCAGCAGAGGGUGUAGGGUCUCCUGGAGCCACAUCUCUGGAGUUACAUGAAGUUGUGGACCUCUCAACAUGGGUUCUGGGAACUGAACCCAGGUCCUCUGGAAGGACAUCGAGUGCUCUUAACCACUGAGCCAUCUCUGCAGCCUAACCCCAUCCCUUGGAGGCUGAAGCAAAGCAAGUUCAAUGACCGUGCGACCUGGCUCUUGUUUGGGCCUAAGGAAAAGCCGACUGUAAGCCGGGAAGCAUCUCUGGCAAGAACAAGGAAGGAUUAAGCACGUCUGUGGUUGUGCGCAGGGAUCACAAGGUGCUCCUGCAGUGGGAAGAGCCACCACUAGGGGCGCUCCAAGUCUUGUAUUUUCUACCUUGAAAACUCGUUUCCCUGUGGCUGCCCUCCAAAUCCAACGGAGAUGAAUGGCUUUUAGUUUACCUAGCUGAUUUAAUAAACUUUAAAAAUAAAUGUACGAAUG